rnacentral:lncRNA from 1 species
UGGUGUCUUGAUUACUAGAAAACAGCAACUUAUUAAACAAUAAGGAGAAUUAUUUUGAUGGAUGUCUCUGAUCCUCUAAACUGAGAAAUGUAUUGCCAUGUUUGUGGUAAUGAGAUUUUCUUUUUAAUUAACUAUACUCUUUGGUUGGCACACUGAUCAUUUUUCAGAGAAGAGCCACUAAAUGGUCUAUUGUUUAGAGAGCCAACCAUAUUG